GUCGACGACGUAGUUUGACUCCUGGCUACGAGGACGAACGCUGGCGGCGCGCCUAACACAUGCAAGUCGAACGGAGCUACGUUUUCUGAAGUUUUCGGAUGGACGAAGAUUUAGCUUAGUGGCGAACGGGUGAGUAACGCGUGGGUAACCUGCCUUUUAGAGGGGGACAACAGUUGGAAACGACUGCUAAUACCGCAUAAGACCACGGUACCGCAUGGUACAGUGAUCAAAGGAGCAAUCCGCUAAAAGAUGGGCCCGCGUCUGAUUAGAUAGUUGGUGGGGUAACGGCCUACCAAGUCGACGAUCAGUAGCCGGACUGAGAGGUUGAACGGCCACAUUGGGACUGAGACACGGCCCAGACUCCUACGGGAGGCAGCAGUGGGGGAUAUUGCACAAUGGGGGAAACCCUGAUGCAGCGACGCCUCGUGAGGGAAGACGGUUUUCGGAUUGUAAACCUCUGUCUUCAGGGACGAAAUUUGACGGUACCUGAGGAGGAAGCGACGGCUAACUACGUG
rnacentral:rRNA from 1 species